AGAGCCUGGCUCCAUCCUCAUGGCACUCACCCUUUAUAUAUUUAUAAACAUUAAUAAGGUCACCCCUCAGUCUCCUCUUCUCCAGACUAAAGAGGCCCAGCUCCCUCAGCCUUUCUUCAUAAGGGAGGUGCUCCACUCCCUUAAUCAUUUAGUGAAACACAUUUUGUUGAAGACGUUGAAUUUCUCCGAGUCCGUGAAUUUUUCAGGUAAUCUGCAUCACUUUGUGGUUGCCCUAUCCUCCUUGUUGCACACCUCUCCAGCAGUCUUUGUGUCACCCGCAAAUCUUGUCUGCAGUCAUUUUGCAGGGCUGGACCCAAUACUGCUUCCCAUGAAAGCAGCUCCUUUCAAUGAUGAUUUCUCAUUGCCAACUACAUUGGAGGCCUACCCGGUAGCCACUCCUAAUGCAAUUUGCUGCACGCUCUGCUUGUACUGAGUUAUUUUAACCUGUUGCUUGCUUGGUUCAUGUAGCAAAACAGUUUGGCAUCCAGGAGUCUUGAAAGGCUAAAUGUGGUGGGAUGGAAGGGAGCUGUAGUACUCAGACUCUGCCCUGGGCAUAGAGCAUCCCCUGCUGCCUCAGUCUCGGGAUCACACUCUCCUGGGACUGUGUUUAUUUUGGUUGUUUCGUGUGAGGCAAUCUCUUACCCCUUAGGUGUUGUUUAGUCUUACAUGGGGAAAAAGAAACAAAACUGAAUCAAGUUUGAAACUGCCCUGUAAAAAGUAUUUGAUUCUGUUCUCUGUCUCAACUUCUAUAGCCUUUUUCUAAAAGUCCCCUGUGCAAAACAGAGGCUGAACACUUAUAAAAUAAAGAGGAUACAGAAUAAGCUCUCUAAUUAUAUUUUAUAUCCCAAAUUAUACUAACAGCAACCAUGCCUAUAAUGUCCAAUUUAGGAAAAAUAUGGAAGUCUUUCUCUAAGGAGUGGAUUUUCACUUUUGCACAUUUCGUGAUUCCCAAGGGUAGUCACUGUUUAAAGCACACUUAUUUAAAUCAGAUAUAUCGUAUUUAUUCAGAUAUAACCUUCAGGGUAGCAUGCAGAACUGAAGUGUUUUAGCGGUUGCAUUUUCCCCACAGAACAUGUUGAAGAUCAUCUAGGUGAAUAAUCAAUGCCAUACAACAGCUACUCCGUUUCCAUCGCCACGGACAAAUCCUCAUGCUGAUUUUCCUGGUUCUGAUUACAACCUGCUGCUUUACCACUGCUGAAUAGUGAAACUCACUCCAUCUGAUUGAUACACUACUGUGAUAUAAAUGCCUAGUUAUUUCUUUCAGUAUUUUACUUAACACUCUUGAUUUUGAGCUGUUUCUGUACAUGUACUAAAUCUACCCUCACAGUUUUCAGUGCAGGGCAUUAUUUCUGUCCCUGUUUUAUGUAUAGCAAAUAAGUCACAGGCUGUUCCAAGAUAACAGAGGGAGUCAUUGGCAAGGGCUAGCAAAAGCCCUGAUAUCCUGAAUUGGAGUUUAAUGUUUAAACCAUAAGGUCCUCAUACCUCAAACAGUUCAUCAGGUGUGCUCUACUGGAGUUUUGUGGCAGCAGCAGGUAAAUCAGUGGGCAGUAGUACCAUGGUAGCCUCUUGAAGGCUUAGUUUAGCUGUUGCAUACUGGGUUUGGAGAUGAAGAGCGGAUUUGGAUGUUCUCACUACCAUCCCAAUGGGCUGGGGAGGCGAAGGUCACAUUUCAAGAUCAGCUCCUACCUGUGCUCACAUUUCAGCUGGGAUGAGACUCAGGUGGACUUGAUGAUUUGCAUGUUAAAAUAUUUUGCUGCAUCUUACAAGAUGAGUAAUUUUUUUCCCUAGGACAGUAUCAAAGAUAUUUGUAAAACUGUCAUCUAAUUCCAGAAUUUAUUCAGACUGUAACUGCCUAGUGAUGUGAUUUCCCCAAAGAGAUUUUUUUUCUUCCACCAAGUACUUUCUGAAAAUCUAAACAAAAGUAGAGUUGCACAGCAUCAGUACUGCUGGAAAACAUGAACAGCUUUAAUAAUGAAAACAGGCAGGACAGAGGGUUUGUAGUUACUGCUGUUUAGAGUUCCAGGUGAGAUAUUGUUAAUACUUACUGGCUUAAGUGGGGAUUUUGUGGAUUGCUAAAGUAAUUGCAAUUUGUGUAUUAAGGAGAGGGUAGAUGGAAGAAAAAACACCGUAGGUGCAAUGUUACUAACACUGGCUUUUAUUCCCAAAGGAAAAGACAUGUCAAUGACUCUCUUCUGCAUUUUCUUCUGAGACAGAAGACUUCCCAAGGUACAAAAGCAUGUUCCUAGUGCUGUUGUUGAGAUUUAUCAAUGCAAUACUAUAACUGUGUCAUAUUAAGGUUCCUUAGUUUACCUUAAACAAACAAAGAAAAACUUUUUAUUGUCUGUCAAAUGUACUGCAUUUACCCAACACUACUUCUACUGCAACAUCUCAGUGAUAUUUUAAGUCUCUACCAUUCACUAUAAUCACAUUAGGUUUCCCUGGAUUCACUCAGCCCUCAAUCUCUCAUUCUUUACUUAGAAUUUAAUGUCUUGUUUGUCUUUCUCUUCACUUGCAAUUUUAAUUUAUUUUCAUUAAAAGCAGUAACACUCUUCGUAAUUCUGGAUCUGCACUGGUCCUGUAAGCAUGUUAGUUUUUAAGCAAUGCAGAUAUUUCCUGAUCCGUAAUACGCCAUAAACAGGUUAUCCUGUGCAACUAGAUGGAAGAUUAAAUCGGUGCUUUUGUUAGCUAGUUGAAGCACAGGCUUUUGCUAAAUUAUCCAGAAUGCCUUUGCCUGACCAUCUGUUUCAAACGGAAAUGAAUCUUGGGCUUUAAUUAUAAAUCUCUUAUGAAUAUUAUUUUUAUUUUCUUCUUUUCUAACCCAAUCUGGCCUUUUGGAGAUUGCUCGAAAUCUCCCUGUAUUAUUUCAAAUGGGGAUGGGAUUACCAGAGUGGCUGAUAGUCUCAUUUAAUUUUUUUUAUUAGCUUUCCUGUUAAUGAUUUUCAAUCUAUCUAUGAAUUUGCUUCAAGUUUAAGCAAAAAUCUGUUACCAAACUGUGUUUAUAAAUUUAUUACAAGAUACCAUGUUAUGAAGCAGUCUAAGUACAAACAUGUUAAACCAUAUGGAAAAUCCGCCCAAAUCCUGCUAAAUUGUUCCAAUGUUUAAUUACCCAGAUCAUUAAAAGUGUGCACCAUCUUUCUAAUAUGUUUUUAUAAUUUCAUGGUCUAGCCUUCAGAUCAUAUUGUAAUUCUUUAUGUGUUGCCCAUGAAGGUGUGAAUAGAUUGAGACCAAACACAAAAACUCCUACUUCAGGUGCCUUCUCCAAAAAAGAAUUACUCAUCUCAGUAAGGAUUUGUCAUUAAAGCGCUUUGUAGAUUUUUUUUUUUCCAAAUAAAGAGUGAAGUCAUUCUUUUUAUUUUAAAUUAAAUGGAGGGAAUGGAGAAGGAAACAGAGCUCUGGGCUGGGGUGUCAGGGGAAGUCCUUACUAGUGGUAAGUUACUCUGUGGAGCUUUGAUCUCCUUUCCCUUCCUCUGGUAGAGUGGCUUCCUUUCCAUUCAUGUUGUCGGCAAUCCAUUCUCCAUUUGGUUUCUUCUAGCUGCCUUGGCCAACAUGCCUUUUGCGCCCAGCACGUACUUUUCUCCUCUGCCUACCCAGUCCAAAUCAUAGUACUGUCCUAACUUGCAUCUUCUGUGACGCAGGGCAGCAACUCCUUUUUAUGACCAAGAAAGAAGAGAAAAACAGAGUUACGCUUCUUGGCACGUUUUCAGUCUUCGCUAAAGAACUUGGCCCUUGCUAGUCCGUAAGAAGAGCUUGAGCAAGCAGAGGAAUCUUUUUCCUGCCAAGCUGUCUUUCUGAGCAGAGGCCAACUUGCAGCAACACAGUGUGGAGAUGAGUCAGUGAAAAAUGGGCUUAGGUAAACACUGUUAACUGAUGUUACAAAAGUUUCUGCUGUGUUUCCAGAGACAGCUGCAUUUAUUUCUUCAUCCAAGAUCCACUGAGGUGGGGAGGUAUUUGAACACUCCUAAUUGAAAUCCUAUGGUAUGUGCUGGUCUUCUCCUCAUAACUUUACCCCUGCCAUUUUUGGUUCCCAUCCCUCUUCGUCAUCAGCUGUUGUUGCAUGUCAUCACAACGCAGGCCCACACAUAGCACUGCUUAUGAAAAAGAAAGCGUUUAGCUCAUUCUCCUCAAAGAUUUUGCAACUUUAGAAGGGUGCUAGGUUACCUUUUUAUCUUCUUGAAGGUAUUUUCUCUCCAGAAUGACCAGAGUAACUUUUACCCAAAUGCACUUUAUUCAAAUGGUCUCAUAAAAUUCUUAAAUUAAAAACAAUAUUGUUUUAAAAUAAGCAUAAAAAGAAAUGAAAAUGGGAGGUUUUUCUUGUUUUAUAUAGCUCACUGCCAUUUUGCAGAUGUUCAUCCAGCCAAGGCAUACAUAACAUGCUUGCAUUAAAUAAAAGGAGAGGAAUUUCUCCACUCUUCCCUCGUGGUCAGUUAGACUGUACUUGUUAGACCCAUUCUAAAUGUAUAUUUUGUACCAGUAUAAUUUGCUGAUGUGAUUUUGCACCAGUGUAAUUAAACCAAUGCAUCAUAUCCAUGAUCUCUUCUACAGUGAUGGAUAGGUGCUUUAUAGUAACAUUGCAAUACGUUUUUCCUCCCUUCCACACAGAAUAUAGAUGGAUAUACCUACAUGGGCUUCUUUAUGGGCCUUCCCUUAGGGCAAAUUGCCUUAAUUUGAAUUAUGCUUGCUAGAAGGCAGAGAAUCCUUCCUGCACCCUUUGAAAGUGCUUGACCAUCACAACGCUUCUCUCUUGCCUUUGAAUUGUGUUGAUCUGCUUGCCCUGUAAUUUCACAUGGUGAUUGUGCAAAACUCUGUGCAUAUCUCCCAGACCUUGGAUGCCAUCUCCCAAAGCCUCUCAUCUUUGUACUCACUGCCACUGUUACAUCAGCCUGUGGGGAGUUUUUUUCCUGUAUGAUUUCCCUCUACAAAGUGUUUGUACAGAAAGUGUAUCUACACUAAAUGUUUCAUACAGCUUUUAAAAGAGUCUUGAGAAGGUUUAGCUGUUACUUUAUAGCGUGACAGAGGCAAAUAGCUGUACACUCCUCCCUUUUCCCCCUCCAUUUCUGUACUAUGUUCAGUGAGUGAAAAUGAUUCACUAUGAAUCAUUCUUAUUCCUUCCCAAGCUGUGUUCUACCCUGAAAAGUACAAUAUUUCUUUUCAUAUUCUCCAUGAAUACUGUGGCUGUGACGUCUUUCUCCUGUGUUUCUCCUAGAGAAGUUUAACAGCAGCCCCUGGAAAGAAUGGACAUCUGAGCAGCAUGAGAGAAAAGCUGGUAUUAUAUCUGGAACCAACACUGUGCACCUCUCAGAGAGCAAUAUAUCUGCCCUUGGCAAAGGGAAACGUGCUCUUGAGAAUUGUUCAACUGGACCUUAAAGUUACUGGGCUAUGAAAUGCAGAAUAAUAGGAUUAGAGAAGCAGGAGAUGGAAGUUACCUACAGAGUUCUCUUCAUUUCCCUGCAAAUGAAGGCUAUGGCUUUACACACUCAGCUCUUAAAAAAAAUGUCAGUGACAGGACAGAUAUCACGGGUUUGUGUAAAGCAGGAAAGAUGUUGAUACUUCAUCCAGUUCUUUAUCUGUGUUUGAAGGAAGGCCUCCAAACAACAAAAGCAUUCAUCUGGAUUUUUACACCAGUAGAUGACUGUUUACAACUUGUAUUCUCGAACACUGUGUAUGUGUGUAUUUAGUACUAGGCAAUAAAAGAUAAGCCAAGAGACAUGCAAACAUUAUCAUGUGAUGUUAGCAAAGUUACUCUCACAGCAAGACAAAUAGUUGUAUUAAGCAACCUGAUCCUGGAAUUUGGGCACCCUUACUUUUCCAUUCAUAAAUCUAAACCUGUGGCUUCUGAGUGUUUAUCACUAGCAUUAGGUCUCUCUAUACACAUGGUCCUUAGGAAAUGAAGCUUUGAAUAUUUGUUUCAGGUUCCAGCUGCUCUGCUGUGGUGUGCGAAUAGUGUGCUCAGACUCAUUAAAUCUGCAGAGCUUGGAAGCUGUUCUCGUGGUUACACCAUAGAUAAUAUCACAUGCGAGACCCAAGUGCUGCGAGACUUUGGCAUGAAGCACAGUGCAUGCAAGAGUUCGGCAGCAGUUCCAGAGCCGACUGUAACACAUCUCCUGUUUUUCAGCUGCUGACGAAAACGUGCUUUUUUAAAAAGUCAGAAGUUAAACAGAUGUCCUUGGAGAAGCUGAAGAUGGAAAUAUUUCUCAUGUGAGCAAUUGCACACACACAGAAAGGAGGCUGCCCUGGUAGGCUUCUCAAGAGACCAGCAACCUUACCUGCAGGUCGUGGGGAGCAGAGUUGCUUUGCUUCUUUUCUGCCUUGAGUUUUGCAGGUGAAACAUGAUAUGGUGCUUAACGUUAAAUUCUCAAGCACAUGGAAGAUAAAGUCCUAUGGGUCCAAAUUUCCCUUGGCUAAGAGGGCCCAGUACUUUUUAAAAACGUGGAUAAGCCAGCUCUGCUACUGUGGCACUUCAGUUGCUUCCAACUACAAGCAGAGAUCCAGAGUCUGUUUGAAACCCACAAACUGUAUGUUUAGGUCAAGUUGCAGUUGCCAGUACAUAGGCGAUAAAGUAGAAGUUUUUGUGCCACUGUUGACAGAUGGCAGGGAAAUCAGACGGAAAUACUAAAUAGGAAAUUAUUAGCUGAUGAAGGGAGGGGAAAAGAAGGAAUCUUUUCACUUCCUUUAGGCUUGCUCAUUUCUUGAAUUUAACACAGAUAACCUGAAAUACUCUAUUUUUUAAAACGCUGCUUCUCAUUUGCUUUCGCAUUGCUUUCAUCUAGAGUGUGAAAUUCCAAGUCACUCUGAAAAAGCUGCCCUAGGGAUAUUCUUGGCAAUACUGCAAGCAGAAAGUACAGGAAACCUCACAAGCAAGUUUGUUCCAGCAACACUGCCAUCCACGUUUCACAGCUGCAAGGACAUUCAAAGCAAAGCUGAACACUGUCUUUUCCCUUUUACAGAACCUUGCUGAGGUAAAAGUACCUGGCACCAGAAAAGCUGAAGUUAAUGCCACAAUCACAACCCCCUGGAAUAAAAGAAAAAAAGUCAUCCAUGAGAAAAGUUUCACAAACCAAAAAUGGGGCAAGAUGUUACAACCCAGUUACUGCAUGACGCGCUGGCCACCAGGCAGAGCAGGAAACCAAAGGGGAAAUAUUAAGAGCAAACAUUUCUCUGCUGAUUAUUGCAGGCACAUUUGGCAAACAUCUGUAAGUGAAUAAAAGCUGUGCAGUAAUGACUGCUGGAAAGAGGAAGGGAGCGUUGUCUCUCCCAUGUGCCUCCAGUGCUACGUCGUACAACUGCUUCUGUUCUAGUGGGCCAGUGAAGUUUUUCUUGGACGUAUUUUUGGAAACUGAUCAUAGGCUAGCUCUCUGAAAGCAUAUAUAAGUAAAGAAAGAGGGUGUAUAUGUUUAUGGGGGGUUAAGCUUUCCAGUACUCUUACAGGUGCCCUAAUUUAGCUGCUAAGCUUUGCUGCACUAGUAUAUUGGCUUUAUCAGUGAAUGAGAUGAAAUUUAUUAUCGGUACAAGACCUUAAAUAUCAUCUUAAUCUCUGUGCCUCAUCUAAAAAGUCUGUGAGAUAGAAGAGGUCCUAACCACCGCAUUUUGACCAGGAGAUUAUUCCUCUAGAAAAGCUACUGUGGAGGAGACAUAAAGUUGUAUUGUUUUGUUAAAAUACAGAGGCCUUCAGUGCUGAAAACUGCAAAAGAAUUUGAAGGGAAUAAAUGUGAUUCAUAACUUUAUUAGAUUAUUUCACCAAGUGUUUCAGUGCUGUCUUCCUUGAAUGACACAGAAACUCAGCUUUGACUUGUAUAUACUGUUCUACAGUUUUUAAAGCUCCUCAGGGUGCCCCUAAAGAAAAGGUAAUAUCGCCAAAGUUAUAUUGAAAAGUAUACUGUUAUAAUUGCUCUUCUGUUUGGUUUUAAUCUCAGUUUUGCUUCAAGUUUACAAUAUAAGUAACACGUUUAAAGUUCAAUACUUUUAGAAUUAUUUUCCCUUCAGGCAGUAGAUGGGUUAUUUAUUUAUUGGUAUUAUUGAAUUUUCUUAGUUCUCUAUUGGAAUUGACAGAUCUCUUUUUCUAAUCCUGGCAGCUGUAAUAACCCUGAACUUGCAAUUUAACUCACUUGUGUUUAUUUAGGAAGGUCAUCAGAGAAAUCUCCUACAGUUUAAAAAAAUACCUGUAUAGCAGUGUGAAUGUGUAUAUAUGUAAACAGUGAGGCAUAUCAGGAAAUAAUGUAUCAGUAAUUUUAUCAGUAAUUUUUAUGUGGAAGUCCAACGUAUUAUUUUCUAACAUAUAAUAUUGGAAUAAUACAGAUUUCACUAGGCAAAUUACAUGCUGAGUAAAAUUCAGUGACAAUGCAAAUAUUUGGCUCAACGAAUUAGAAUGCUUUACUGCUAGUCAGAAAAAUGCAGUAAAUGGUCAAAGUCUAGGCUGGUGAAUUUAUUGUAAGUGUAAUCUCUAAGUAAGAAUGACUGCUGAUGGACUAAAGUCUAACUGGCACAGGGUUCAGAAAUUAAAAGCUGUCCUCAGCAUUAACAGUAAGAUUUACAUAUAUUAAAAUAAUUCCAACUAUAUGUUCCAACUUUUGAGGAUACAGCACUGAAUCCAAAAAGGCAUCCUGGAACACAUCUUUAUUUUGUGAUGCCUCAGCUCCAGUUGAUUCAGAGAGAAGUUAACUAAUAGCAUUUAACUAUAGCUACAUCAAAAUCUUGUGUCAAACUGUGUAUGUAAGUGAAAAUGGAAUAACAGUCAAUUCAUAUGCUUUUGAGACAUUUCCAAAUAUAUUAAACUUAAAAAAAUAUCUAAAUGUAUUUCUUAAGGAAUUACAGGAAUAGGAGAUACAAUUUUCUUGCAACAAAUGACUUUCAAACAGAAAAUGCUGAUCACAAAGAAGGGGAAAGUAUUAACAAACACUUGAUUGCACCAAAUAAUCAUCCUUAAAAAUGUUUCUGAUUGUCAUGACCUUUUCUCUCAUUUACCUGAUCUGCAUGUUACGAGUUACUAGUUGAAUUGAGUGUAAAAACAAAAAAAAAAACCCCAAGUCUUUGAGAAUGACUUAAGUAAAACCAGAUGACAGAAGAUAGCUAUGCUAGAACAACAGUAUUCAUUAUUAAAUAAAUGUUAUAUAGUAAGCUAUAUAGAGCACUGGGGAAAACAUUGGGAAGGGGGAGUAUACAUUUUUUCCAGUUGUUAUAUUAUCUUCAAAAAAAAAUACAGUCACACACAGAUACUAUGUUUGCAAUAAAAUUGACACAUGGAAAAAAAAGACCCUCUAAAAAUUGCAGUGUUUACAGAAGUUAUUUAUUGUAUACUGCACACAUAUACACAAAGCACCAACAGUCAACUUUUGUUGUUAAUAGUAGCUUUCCUUUAUUUAAAAAAAAAAUGAAUACAUAUGGAAUCUUUGAAUUAUGCCUUCUUGGUCAAACCACUACAAAAAUAAAGGAAUAUUCUGUGUAGUUGUAUAACUGGACUGCUAUGGCAAGGAAAAUCAGUAAAUCUAUGUAUCAGGGUAAAAAAAGAAAAUGUGCAGGAUCUUUAUGCCCCUCUCUUAUUCAUUUAACUUCAAAACCAAAUUCUAUACUGUCUCUGAUAGUACCUGUGCCAUAUGUGUCAGGUCAAGAUUCAAGAACCUACCUAUAGUUUUCCAUGCUGGUUCUUGCUGUGAUUUGCAACAGUUACGUAUUGGCCUAGAUAUCUGUACGUGGCAUUUAAUAUCAUAAAAACUCAAUAAUCUUGAUGUCUUUAUAAAUAUCUGGUGUCUCCUUGUGAGUUUUGCUAAGAUGUUGCAUUUGGUGACUUCUGGUGGUGUUGAGUUCCACCGUUUGGUUACUAUGGAGAGGUAUUUUUGUGUCAGUCCUGGUUUUCACACCUUUAAUUUAAUUGAAUAUCAUCUUGUUCCUGAGCAGUGAGGUGCAGAGACAGAAGCUUCUGAAUCACCUUCUUUAUUUGAUGUACUUUGCCGUAUCCAUCUUGUGAGUUUCUCUUUGGAAAACAGAACCUCCAUCUUUUCUGUCCUUAGUCAUAUCAAACGUUUUACAGCCCCUUAAUCACUUUAGUUCUCUUAAUCCUUCUUCUUCUGCAGCGCACUUCAUGACAUGAGGCAGCAGGUUCCGUACGGACUGGCUGCAGAGGCCUGUGCUUGUUGUUGCUUCAUAUUAAGGAACUACAACUUUUGCUUUAUUUAUUGACUUAUUCCUAAUGCAUCCUAGCAUCUUGCUAAUGCACUUUUCACAUCUGCACAUUCUUCAGAGACUUCAGUAAAGUUUAUUGUAAAGUAUCAGUGAAGUAUGAAAAACAGUUAACUGAUGAGAAAGGGGUGUAAUUUACUAAAUAUAUUUAAGAUAUAAGAGACUUAAUAAUCUUUUUUGCUCGUGGAGUAGUUAUAGUAUCACACAAAGGAAACAUACACUUUAAUCUUUUGCUAAGAUUAUUUUUUCCUUUGUUUUCCUUGUAUGUAAAGUAAAUAAUCCAUGCAGAAAAUGAAUAGUAAUGGUGUAAGUACUGAAAACUAUUAAUCAUAUGAUAGGCAGUAGAAUGAGAGGGCUACCUGGAGGGAGAGGAUACCCUCAGACCUCAUUACAUGUAUCUGGAUUAUUUACCUUUGUUUUAAGAAGCUGCUUGAGUGUCAUUUUAGGUCCCUUUACAUUGAUGUAACUGUCAUGCUUGAUUUGUGUACAUAUUCUUGUAUUAGCAAUUAUACAAAAUUAUAGAGAGGAGAAAAAGAUGCUGGACAAUUUCCUUAUAACUAUAGGAAAGGUUUGUUUUAUACCAUUUAUGUUGCUGUGACUUUGAAACCAAUGGGAAGAUACUGGUGAGACCAAUAUCAGGUCUAGGCAAGUUGUAUCUCCUGUUCAUCAUGUUGAUUGCUAACUGUGACUGCCCGCUUCAGCUCUAGCCCAAAGGCUUGGCAAAUACAGGAGCAAAAAGAAUCCAGGUGCAAAGUGAAAGCAUCAUAAUGCAGCAAAACCUUCAGGCAGCAAGGUAUGAUUUGGUAUUAUUAAGUGCAAUGUCCAAGAGAAUGAGUUGUGAUAAGCAAAAGUUACCAAGUAGUUGUUUCCACCGCAUUUGGCAAAUCUACUCUAAUAUUGUUUUCAUUUGUUGUGUCUACUCAAGCGUUUUUUCCUGGAAGGUAUGGGAGUUGUAAGUUGGGAGUGGUGACGGGUUUUGACAGUCACUAAUUCUUAGAAUGAGAAGUGUUUGAAAAAAUUGGCCUAUCCAGUUAAAAUGCUGAGAAAUUUCUAGACAGGUGAGAUGUAGAGGCACCCAUGAGAUUACACACUCUGAUUCUGCAUUCCCAAAAAGUUAUGAGGAUUUUGUUUAAUAGGUACACCAUGGUCACAACGAAGCUUUACAUCUUUAAAAGAUUACAUUACGCUUUCCUACAGCAGUACCUUAGCACUACAUGAGAGCGGGCUCUUCCCGCCAGCUUAGAAAGCCAUUUUACCUACUGCAAACAUGAAAACUCUUUGAAAUAAACAGAGAUACAAAUGAGUUCUGCAGACAUUGGAUUAGGUACAAAAUGCCGUAGUUUGAAAUGGUUAUACAUACGCUUGCACAGAGACCACACAGGCUUUUCUUCAGUUUUGCUGGGAAACUCUUAUCUACAAAACCUUCCAAAAUCUCCAUUAUUGCUCAAAAAGUAUCAGUAUGGACCAGUAAAUCCAGUGGUUUUUUUCAUAACUUGGCUGGAAUCACCAUAAUGACUCUCAGUAUGCAAUAAGAUUUUCCCAUUGGAGUUUGGAGAGUAACAGUUAAGAGAGCUCAAAUCCUGUAUUAUUUUGGGCAGCUGUAAAGGAAAGUAUUUUGCAUUUGGUCGAGAGAAAUUACUCAAGCAUGUAUUUUAAAUUGAAAGUGUUCACAAAACCAAAGUGACCUAAAUUGAAACUAUCAUGGUUGUUCACAAGCUGUAAUAUUUCCUUUAAUUUGAUCAAGGUGGGGGUGGGGAUGCAGAAUUAUUACUAAAAGCAAAAAGUAUAAAACCCCCACUUUUUAAGGAAAGUAAUUUUUGUACGUUAUUUCUAGCAAGUGAAUGAAACCCUUUUUUAAUCCAUGUAGUGAUCCAAAUAUUGUGACUGCAACGUUUUCUAUCAGAUUUCAGUGGAACAGCUAUUGAGUUUAUGUAAACUGUCAAGGGUUAUUAGGCUUUCUGGUUUUCAUCGUACUGGUAGCUGAGCUGUUGAAGCCUAAAGCUAAAGAGAACUUCUGCAUGGAGUGAUAGAAGCAAUGAUCAAAAAUAUUUAUAGUCAAGAAUAACGCAAAGAGAGAAUACAUGAAAGAGAUUACAUAAUAUCAAGGAUGUCAGAAGCCUCCUAUAUUUAUGGAAAGGGAGAGAGAAUCAAUAUGCAAGUGGUGACUUAAAUGUUCAUUUAUUGCUUUGAUUUCUACAUUUAAAUCAAGUAUGUAUCCAAAUAGUGCUUCUCCUGACACAUAAGUAUAUGGUUAUCUUCACUCAUGUUAGAGGCCGAGAAUGUUGUCUAGAGCCACAGUAUGAAUGUGCUGCAUUCAACAUUUGCAACAUGUGAUGCUUUUGCUUCCAGCACCGAGUGAUCCUGGAGAUUUACUUACUCCAUUUAUACCACAGCUUAAAUUUUCUUUUGAUUCCAGCAACAGGAAACAUGGCAAUGAUGUUUAUCUCCCGAAGGAGACACAGCAAAUGGUAAGAGCAAACAUCCAUUCUAUCAGGUGGUGGCUAUGAAAAUACUACCCUACCUGAAACACCAGUAACCUAUGUUUUCUGGCUCGGUGUAAAUUUAUCCUGUCCCAGGCAGAGAGUCAGUUGCAUUCUUUUCACUAGAGAUUGACAAGGCGAUUUGCAUUUCUUGUGCUUUUACUUUAUCUCCUCUCUGAACAAGCAGCAAAUUUCAGCAGCUGGCAUGGCUGUUACAGUCCUUCCCUUAUUUACAUAACAGGAAAGGAGAGAAGGAAGAGGAGGAUAUCUGGGGGAAAAAAUAGAAGAAAAAAUAAAAUUGAAGCCGUAGGGAAAAUACUUAUUCUUUCUGAGUACAGGAAUUUGAGUGUAUAAUAAAUGGGGUCAGAUAAAAAAAAAUAAAGAACCAUACCAAAUAUCAUGUGCACUUAUGAUUCUGUAAUGAUUUAAGCUAUCUGGCUUUUUCUGGGAAGCAUCCCAUAUGCCAUGAUUAUUACUAGUGACAGCUGUCAUUUGUUGGUAGUUCCUCCCAGGUUGCUCAAGCCGAUCAGAUAAAUAAACCUGCUUGCCUGCUAUUACCAGUUAGUACUUGUUUGGCUGCACGUUUUCCUUUAUGUCAGAACUCUGACCAGAACACUUAAGUAUUAAAUCAUGAAAUUCUGACACAAUUUAUGUAAUCUUUGUACACAGUGAAGUACUGACUCAUUGAUACGUUUCUACUGUAAAAUAGAUGCACUCCUGAAGUGGAAACAUAUACUCCCUCAAAUACCGUCGUUAUUUUCACCCAGAAGCCUUUGUAACUUUUCUGUGGAAAGAUCCCUCUGUCAGAUAGGGAAUGGCUACAGACCAGUUAUCUUUAUCUACCCAAUCUGCCUAUGGUAGAGGGAAAAUAAUAAUGUUUGACAUUUUCUUUAAUGACCCAUCAUCAAUCUGUCACUUUGAAAAAUAAGAAAUAGUUAAAUUAAUUAUUCUCAUAUUGAUUCCUCUUUGCCAGAUUCAUUAGACUAUCCUAUCCCUGCAUAAAAAAACCCAAAGUCUUGUCUGGGUAUAACUUGGCAGAAAAAUGCAUUGCCUCCACCAAAUGACUCAUUUAUAUUUCAUUAUUUUAAGAGGCUUCCUUUGUAAAUAUUUAAUAGAUGAUGUAUAUAUCUAGAUGAAUAUCGAAGCAGAAAACUUAAAAAACCUUGACUGCAAACUUUCAUGGUUCCUGAUGAGAUGAACUUUUUUCGUCAGAAAGGAAUUAGCGGCUCAUUCCUAGGACAAGCUGAUCAGCUUUUUCAAAUUGUGAGUAAUUGCUUAAAUACUAGGAUCUGUCCAAAUACUUGCCAUUACCAAAAAGCAUGAAUUUGUAAAUGCUUGCAGACAAGAUUGUAGCAGUUGUUCACCUGUGUUCUUGCAAAUGAGUCUUAUUAUUCAAGUCAACAGUAUUAGGCACAAGGUCUAUUAUUUGAAUCAAAAUUGAAUUUGUAUCUCAUGAUGUAGAACAGAGAAGGUGUCUGUGUAUUUCUUCCACAUUUCUAACACCUGCCACCAGAAACCUUAGCUGACUAUUUCUUGGCAGUUUCUCUACAUUUCAGCUGGUUCAGAGAGACCACUGUGCUUAUCAUUUACACAGAGGAUGAAGCCAGUUACAAAGUACAGCCAUAGUAGCUCACAUGAAAUCUAAAGAUUUGACUUGUAAGCAUCGGGGAAGUAUGCAGGGGCAUCAAAAUUAACUGUACUUGAGUGUAAACUGUUGAAAAGCUAAAUCUCUUCAGAGAAGGAUUUGUGGAAGCACAGUGUUCUUCAGGGAACCUUGCAAAUCUGCAUUGCAAUAGCCUGUUUCCUGAGACUUCCUUAGGGAUCACAGAGGAUUUAUAGGAAGGCUGUAUUUUUUUGUAGCUACUCCAGCUUUACCAGCUGCACAAAAUUCCUUCUUGAAUGACUACGUUCCAUAAAAGCAAUUACAGAGAAUUCUGGGAUUCUUAUUUUCAUUUCCUUUGCUAGCUCUGUAGAGAUAACUUUUCUGUAAUAGGUAACCAGAGAGUGCACAUGCAAUGACAGAGAAUGCUAUGAACCAGCCUGCACAUUUAUCCUUUACACUGAGGAUAUUUGCAAAAUGCUAUUAUGUUUUCAUGCAUACUGUAUGCUGUUCAAUUGCAACAAUGUAUGUAGUAAGAAAUAUUAAAUAGAGCGUAGAAAGAUGUACUUAAUUUGUGUAUACAUGUUUGGUGGAAUGCAGAAAAGGAAAUGCUGGAAGGCUUCUGUGAAAACAAUAGCUCAGUCGUUGAGGAGGGACUGGGUACUGAUGGCCAUGCAGAUUUUAUCUUUUCUAGUGUUGCUGCUUGGGAAUAUGGUACUCUUAUCAAUAUAGAAAAAGGUCUUUUCUUUCAAAGCAACAGCGCACUAAAAGAAAGGAAAAACUGACCUCAUUUGUUGGUAACAAUGUGGAAAGGAACUGCAGCUCUGACCUAUUUCUCCGGAGUUACAAUUAUCUGCAGUAAUGGUACCACUUCACUUUUAAAAUCCUGGGUGACAGUACUUUGAGAUUAAGAGAAGUUACUCUUUGGUUACAGACCUUAUUACUUGAGGGGCAAGCCAGCAUGAGAAUGGAUGUAUGUGAAUGAGCAACGACAAGGUAGCAAAGAAGUGAUUCAGAUUCCACUGAUGGAAAGGUUUGGAACAGAAGUGAACAGAAGAUAUUGCCAUGGUUUGCUCAAAAACGAGACAGAACGUUUUCAUUACUCUUGAGGGCUGUUGUCUCAGAACAUGUAAAAGGGGUUAUCUGUUUCCUACAUGAUCAUCCAUGCAGAUUGUUGACCACUGAAUUGCAUAGCAACUGGAUUAUUCUCUCCGAUUCAGGCGUUCCUACAGGAGCGCACUCAUUCCCUUUCUAAAUGAGCUCUUUCAGUGUUAAUGAUGACCAGGUACUUUUCAAGCUAUCAGCAGCAUAAAUUGGGAAGGGGAUGAAAGAUGUGGUACCACUAGAGUCCUGUCUCCACAUUCUGAAAUAGAGAAGCAAUCUUGUGUCGUGGAUGAACUUAUUCUUUAACAGAUUAUGGGUGCCCAGCUGACCUGCUGCUGCUCAGAAAAGUGAUGGCUGGGCCUUAGUAACAGCCCAUCGCUUCCAGUCUCCCCUGAAAAGCCCACUGGUGAUGCCAGACAGGCAAGACCACGGUGGAAUAAGAAACUCGCUUCUCUAGGAGGAAACCUGAGAGAGCCAUCAUUUGCUUCACGCAGAGUUAGGCAUAAAUGUGAAAACUGAAGAGACCACAUAUUCACCAUCAUUCUAUGCAAGUUGCUUGGGACUCCUGUGUAUUUUGCAUGUAUAUUAAUGUGUAAGAAAGGGACAAAUACAUUGUGAAUCUUACUGAAAUUGAUUAUUAAUACGUGAACAUACCAAAUUAAUAAGUCUCAUGAUGGCAAGGAAAAUACAAGACAAAUGGAGUAUAUUAUUUGUGAAGAACACCAAAGAUGAUGUAGAGACAAAAAAGAGUUUACAUUUCACAUUUUCAGUUUUUAGUUUUACAUUUUACAUGUAUUAUUAACUUUAAAUAGUUUACAGUAAGAGAGAGAGGAAAGCAAUAGCAUAGGUACAAGCAAUAAAUGAAAUUAUAAACCAAGGAAAGAACAUUGUCAGUGAUUUACCUGUAAGGCUUAACAUGUCCAUGAAAGAAUGUGCAUGUUCUUUUCUUUGUUUUAACUAACUCAUGUGACUAUGGAAAUCUCUCUCUUCCCCUUCUUGCC